GACGAACGCUGGCGGCGUGCUUAACACAUGCAAGUCGAACGGUAAGGCCCUUCGGGGUACACGAGUGGCGAACGGGUGAGUAACACGUGGGUGAUCUGCCCUGCACUUCGGGAUAAGCCUGGGAAACUGGGUCUAAUACCGGAUAGGACCACUGCCUGCAUGGGUGGUGGUGGAAAGCUUUUGCGGUGUGGGAUGGGCCCGCGGCCUAUCAGCUUGUUGGUGGGGUGAUGGCCUACCAAGGCGACGACGGGUAGCCGGCCUGAGAGGGUGACCGUCCACACUGGGACUGAGAUACGGCCCAGACUCCUACGGGAGGCAGCAGUGGGGAAUAUUGCACAAUGGGCGCAAGCCUGAUGCAGCGACGCCGCGUGAGGGAUGACGUCCUUCGGGUUGUAAACCUCUUUCAGCACCGACGAAGCGCAAGUGACGGUAGGUGCAGAAGAAGGACCGGCCAACUACGUGCCAGCCGCCGCAGUAG
rnacentral:rRNA from 1 species